rnacentral:lncRNA from 1 species
UAAUCCAAAUAAUAAAUUAUUGCCCCAAGAAUAAAACACUCUUUUCGUAUGGGAGCUGUUUUCACCCUAUUAAAUCUUGCAACUGCACACUGGUCUGCCUGGAACCAGCUUCUGUUUUCACAAUUUUCCUGGGGAAGCCGAGGGUUGACUAGAGGCAGAAAGCUGUCGUCCCGAACUCCCGCAUUGCCAAAGGGAUCUAAGGAAGCUCUACACUGUGUCCUUAGGCACCUAGGCUAUGAACCCAGGGAGUCUUGUCCCAAUUUAGGCAUACAGCUCUUGACAUGGGCAGUUAUGUGGGACCCAUUCCCCACCACCCUUUCCAGGGCCUUAGAACUGACAACCCAGUACUUUAACAACUGGAACUGGAUCUACAACAACAUAAUAGAUCAGGAUGAAAAUGAAUUGAGUAAAUUAAAGGGAGGCGCAUAUUCCUAUAGUGGCAAAUGGGGGCAACGAGCCAAUGUCCUUCCACUGUGUUUCCAAAAUCCAUCUACAAAGACAGAGAGGAGAAUAAGCAAUAGGACCAUAGAGGACACUGCCGCCAAAACUGCAGCCCGAGAGUUUGGCGAUCUCUGGUAUCUCAGUCAGGUCGAGGAUAAGAUGACAACACAGGAAAGAGAACAAUUCCCUACAGGCCAGCAGGCAGUUCCCAGUGUAGACCCUCACUGGGAUGCAGAAUCAGAACACGGAGAUUGGUGCCACAGACAUUUGCUAACUUGCAUGAGAAACCUAAAGAGGUGGCAGUCUUACACUGCUGGGAUCAUCAGAAAGGAAAGGAAAGGGAAAUAGAAGGGAACCACCAAGCGGAUAUUGAAACUAAAAGAGCUGCAAGGUGGGACCUUCCAUUAGAAAUGCUUAUAGAAGGACCCCUACUAUGGGGUAAUCCCCUCCAGGAAACCAAGCCCCAGUACUCAGCAGAAGAAACAGAAUGGGGAACCUCACGAGGACAAAGUUUCCUCCCCUCACGAUGGCUACCCACCGAAGAAGGAAAAAUACUUUUGCCUGCAGCUAACCAAUGGAAAUUACUUAAAACCCUUCACCAGACCUUUCACUUAGGCAUUGAACCCAUUGGAUGGCCAAAUCAUGAUUUACUGGACCAGGACUUUUCAAAACUGUCAAGCAGAUAGUCAGGGCCUGUGAAGUGUGCCAAAGAAAUAAUCCCCUGCACUUCAGGCCAUACAUUUCAAUCCCUGUAUCUUUAACUUCCUUGUUAGGUUUGUCUA